UCCAGUUACCUAACAUUUUAGAGUCAGCCUCAUAUCCUGGGAACCAAGCAAAGGGAUCCCCUGUGUCCUCUCAACAAGGUUCAUAUAUUUACCUCCAUACCCAACAUUGGUAUGGAGACAUCCAGCUGAUGGAGACUACAAGACUGAGCUUGGCUCUAGGGACUUAACAGCAACAUCAAGUGAUCAUCUGUUUCUCAUCAAAACACAAUCAAAGAGGGAUCUUGUGUCCUGGGUGCUUAGUCCAUUGUAUGAUGAUGGUGUUUGGUUCCCAAGAGCUUGGUCCUGCUUCUACAACAGGACAGAUACGUUUAGAAAGUUUCAAAGAAAAAAUCUGUCAUUCGUAGCCAUAUCCAAUGAGCUAAUUUAUAAUAAUAAUAACAUUCUUACAGUGCUUUAUGAUUUGCAAAACAUUUUACAUACAUCACUGCAUGUAAACCUCAUAACAACCUUAUAAGAUUCAGCCCAGUCCACUGAUCUGUCAUGAACUUUGUCAUCCAGCGCGCCGAUUAUUCCCACCGCUUUUUUGUCAUUUGUAAAUUUACUAUGGGAGCCGUCACCAUCUUCAUUCAAGUCAUCGAUAACAAUGGCGAUCAGAAGUGAGCUAAGAGGCCUGUGUUUAUAACUAGACAAAAUUAAGCUGAAUGAACCAGAGACAUCUGCUCUUUGAAAGCUUGUUUUGAAUAGUUCGUACCUAAAGAAAAGGGCAUGAGUGAAAUAACAUUUCAAGCACCUCAUUUGCCUGUGAUUCUCAAUUCAGCCUUGGAAGACACUGGCACGGUAUAACAUCCUGAGAUGCAAGUGCCAAAAGAACCAUCCAAGAGGUUUAUGUGGAAGUCAUAGUAUGGGACCCGAGAUAUUUGCCCUAAUUUAGGGUUCCAAUUAAUUAAUAAUGAAUGCAUCAUCCUCAUAAUAAAUGGUCUUUAACAUUUUGAA